GCCUAGGAAGCUUGUAGCCUCUCUCUUCCUGAGGUAAAGGAGAAGAAAGGGGGGAGUGAUAAGAAUCCUUAAGAAAGAGUUUAGCUAGGAGGCCUGAGAGAGGGGUCUAACUAGGAAUUCUAUGGAUAAAGCUUAAAGAAACAAGGUGGGAAGUAGUUCAUGAAGAGAGCAGUAGGGUGGGUGAAGUCCAGGUCUUAACUGCUUGCUCUAGAGCCCUGGACUGGAACCCAGAGUAAGGUUAGGCCUGGAUUUCCUUACCAUCCACUGCAGAAUAGUAUUGGUAGGGGCAGUGAAUGGGAAGACUGCCUGAGUCACUGUGGGAAUGACACAGUCAGAGCAGCGGGCAUGAGGACUGCAGGAGGAGAAGAGAGAAGACUCCCCUGGAAGGGGAAACUACACAGUGACCUGGGCUGAGUUACAAAGUGUCUAUACUGCAACUCCAUGAGCAGGAAGAGAGCUGCAACAAUGGAAGAGAAGAAAGGAGGCAUUGAAUCAGAUGGAGCUUAUCUCCAGAAGGAGGCACCACGCAGCUUGCUGAUCUCUAACAGAAGGUGUUAUGUUCUGCCCAACAAGAAAGGUCCAUUGACACCAGAUGGACUAUUGUGGGAUGAUAGAGGACAGAGGCAUUCUCCCCCCCCCGGACUGCAAAGAUGAGUGAUGGAAGUGGUUUCCUCCUGUUGGCUGACUUUGCCUUUAAUAAGAAGAAACUGUAUCUCGGUGCUGCUUAGUCUCUGGGAAACAAGGUUUACUAGGCAUAAGCAAGAGAUCCCUUAGCCUAGGUUAGUCCUUAAGGUCCUGUAGUGCUUGUUUGUUAUAGAAGUUUUUACUUUUUGAAACUUAAGACUGUAACUCAUUUGUGUGUGUAUUUGCCUGCUUUAACUUAAUAAAUCUUCCUAUAGUUUUUUUAUA